rnacentral:lncRNA from 1 species
GUCAUCUGUCUCUGGGUUUGACUUCAUCUCCAUAAGGUUGUCCAAAAUACGUGUGACUGGCAGAUUCUAUGAAACAAAACAUGAAAUUAAUGAAAUACUUAAUUGCUUACUAAGACUUAUUCAGAGAAUAAUCAACAGAACCAAAAAAGCACGUAUGCUUUUCUCCAAAAGCAUGUAUAGAAUUCAGAGUAACGCUGGCAGAUCACAGAAUCAUAGAAUGGUUUGGGUUGGAAGGGACCUGUAAGAUCAUCCAAUUCCAAUCCCUCUACUAUACCCAGGGACACCUCACACCAGACCAGGUUGCUCAAAGUCCCAUCCAGCCUGGCCUUGAAUGCCUCCAGGAAGGGGGCAGCCACAAUUUAAGAUGUAAUAGCAGACAGUGCAGACAUAACAAAGUGCCUGAGAUUCAUGUAAUGAACAGCUUUCUGUAAGCCAAACUAACCCUCUAUUCAGCCAAGAAGUCUUGCAUCUAGAGGUGUUUCCUAGUGGCCAAUACAAAUACCAGG